AGUAGCGAAGGUCCUGGGCUCACACUGCCAAGAAAAGCUUCUAGCCAGGUGAAGGCGCCCGUACCGCAAACCGACACAGGUGGGUGGGAAGAGUAUUCUAAGGCGCGCGGAAGAACUCUCGUUAAGGAACUCGGCAAAAUGACCCCGUAACUUCGGGAGAAGGGGUGCCCCGGUAGUGUGAAUAGCACGAGGGGGCCGCAGUGAAAAGGCCCAAGCGACUGUUUAGCAAAAACACAGGUCUGUGCGAAGCCGCAAGGCGAAGUAUACGGGCUGACGCCUGCCCGGUGCUGGAAGGUUAAGAGGAGGGGUUAGCCGCAAGGCGACGCUCUGAAUUGAAGCCCCAGUAAACGGCGGCCGUAACUAUAACGGUCCUAAGGUAGCGAAAUUCCUUGUCAGGUAAAUUCUGACCCGCACGAAUGGCGUAACGACUUGGGCGCUGUCUCAACGAGAGAUCCGGUGAAAUUUUAAUACCUGUGAAGAUGCAGGUUACCCGCGACAAGACGGAAAGACCCCAUGGAGCUUUACUGCAGCUUGAUAUUGGACUGGGGUGCGAUUUGUACAGGAUAGGUGGGAGCCUUGGAGCUCGGAGCGCCAGCUUCGGGGGAGGCGCCGUUGGGAUACCACCCUGAUCGCAUGCUAGUUCUAACCUCGUACCGUGAAUCCGGUACAGGGACCGUGUCAGGCGGGCAGUUUGACUGGGGCGGUCGCCUCCUAAAGUGUAACGGAGGCGCCCAAAGGUUCCCUCAGAAUGGUUGGAAAUCAUUCGCAGCGUGUAAAGGCAUAAGGGAGCUUGACUGCGAGACGGACAGGUCGAGCAGGGACGAAAGUCGGGCUUAGUGAUCCGGUGGUACCGCAUGGAAGGGCCAUCGCUCAACGGAUAAAAGCUACCCUGGGGAUAACAGGCUUAUCUCCCCCAAGAGUCCACAUCGACGGGGAGGUUUGGCACCUCGAUGUCGGCUCAUCGCAUCCUGGGGCUGAAGUAGGUCCCAAGGGUUGGGCUGUUCGCCCAUUAAAGCGGUACGCGAGCUGGGUUCAGAACGUCGUGAGACAGUUCGGUCCCUAUCUGUCGUGGGCGUUGGAAAUUUGAGAGGAGCUGUCCUUAGUACGAGAGGACCGGGAUGGACGCACCGCUGGUGUACCAGUUGUUCCGCCAGGAGCAUCGCUGGGUAGCUACGUGCGGACGGGAUAAACGCUGAAAGCAUCUAAGCGUGAAGCCCCCCUCAAGAUGAGAUUUCCCACAUUUGGUAAGACCCCUUGUAGACGACGAGGUCAAUAGGCUGGAGGUGGACGCGCAGCAAUGCGUGGAGCUGACCAGUACUAAUCGGUCGAGGGCUUAUCCUC
rnacentral:rRNA from 1 species